AUAUAUCGACUUUAAAUAUACAUAUUAUUUUACCUUAUAGAUUUUCUGCAUAAUUUAAUCAUCAACUUCAAUGCGAAAUUUUUCUCUAAUUUCCUGUUCUACUUCACGAUGGCCUCCUGUACGCCUCCGCUCCACUGCCGUUUUGUUGCCUGUUUCCAUAUUGAACAAGUUGCAGUGAAAAAAUUUAAUUAACGCCCUUUUGUUAGCAUUUGCAAAUUUCUUGGCGAGUUUUUUGGGUGCAAAGAAUUUACAACUGAUUGCUUAAUACCCCUUGACAGUUCAAUUAACACGAAAUUUGUUUCUAAUUAGUUGCAGACGACUAAAAUGUAUUCAGCCAAAAGAAAGAUAGUAAUCGUUUUCGGCUCGGUGUCUAAAAAGAAAAGAAAAAAUUUACUAGACGUAAGUGAACUUUCUUAUCUCUUUUUCUUACUUUACAUUCUAUUUCUUUCAUGUUCAAACAUUCAAAAUUUUUCAAUUUUGCUUCUGUGAUUAGAAUGCACAUGUUUUUGGUAAAAUUUAGUGUGGAAUUUCUUCUGUAACUAAAACUAUAUUUCUUACACUUAUUUUGCUUUUACGAAAGAUUGUUUAAGCUUUGACUUAAGAAUGUAAUAAGCUAUGAGUGACAACGUAAUUAACGGUUAAUAAUGAGUACUACUGCAUUGUUAGUGACAGGCUACUAGGCGGUUUCUCUUUUGAUGCAGUUUAGUCUAGCAUUUUGACAGUUUCGCAUAUUUCAAGAUCACCUUAUAUUUGCAAUGCCUUUUACUUCAAAUUCUUCCUAUCUUACUCAACUAUUCUCAUUAUAUUUGCUAACAAAUAAUUUGAUUAUUGUUAAAGGUAUUGUUUGUGCGAAAUUACCUAUAGUAAAAAAAUAAUAUUGUUGUGAAGAGAGUGAAAACCUUUUCUUGGAAUUUUGUAAAGUAAAACAAAUUUCGACCACUUAAAAGGAAAAUAAUAAGAAAGACCCACAAGUGCUCUAAUGAAAAUUUAAAUAAGAAAUAUGACUGGCGAGUAUUGAAGCAAAUAUAAUCGCAUAAUUAAACAAUGCAAAUAAAAAUACAAAAAAUGUUUUGCAAAUUUUUCAAAACCUAUUCAAAUAUUUUUAACGUUUCAUUUUCUUCAAAUCUUUAUUUGUCAGCCCAUAAUUUGCCGACAAUUACGGGUAAAUACAAAUCGAAGGCUAAAUCUACUCAAUUGCUUUUGGCUUAUUCAGCACUCAAAACGUUCAAUAUGCAGAUACUUAUGUUAUUACCAAAUUUUUUAAUAUUUUUUUGCGGAUUUUCUUUUUCUGUGGAUAUAAAUGUGCUUAAAAACUCACACACGUAUACACAAAAGCAUUGGCAACGCCGCCACAGACGUCUGCGUUCUGCGGUCUGUGGUCUGCGCUAAUAUGUAUGUAAUUCGCAAUACUCGCUCACUGUCUAGUCUGCCAGCAUAAUACGACUAGGGUCUCGCUGAGUUCGCACACGCCCACAGAAGCAUUGUGCGCGUCGAUAAACAAAUGUGGGCCAAAUCGAGGGCGGCAAUAGCAGCGGCGGCGAAGGCGUACAAGCGUGGAGACAGUAAGCAAUAAAAAUGCAAAUUUACAUGGCAACGCUGAAAUAUAGGAAACAGUUGCAAAUUGUGUUCUGAAAGUAAAAUUAUUUAAAGAGAGAGGAAAGUGAAAAUAUCUAUUUGAGGACGUCUGUGUAAUGGUGACUGGUAUUUAGAAGGUGCGAGCGUUUAUUAUGAAAUUGUGGAUUCAAUUUGGCACUAAAUUUCGCACUUAGUAAUAGCAAACUACUGAUUGCAUUACUAGUAAGAAAAUUCUCAUUAUAAAAUUUAUAAUACUAUACAAUAUGGAAAAAUUUAGUUAGAUUAAGUUAAUACAAUAGAAUAAGAAAAACUGUUAACUUUG